CUUGACGAUUGGCUACACUAACGCAAAGUGGAAAAAGUCCGUCAGGUUCUCUGACAGAUUUUUUCCACCUUCGUCCCGGUUCUUCUGAAACCUGCUAUUACUCCCUAUUCCUUGUUGUCCCUCAAGCGGUUGCCCUCGAAUUACUGUGGUGCCACGAUAAACGUUCGAAAGGUCACCAAGCAUUAAUGCUCCAUUCUACCAUUGCGAUUCAUUGAUCUACAGUCCUGCCAAUCACAAUUGGACAAGUACCAACCCCCGCAAAGCGGUGAUAUAUGCAUCUCGG